UGAAUUUUUAUCUUUAUCAUUGCUUUUAUAACUUCAGAUAUUCGGUUAAUAUGAAAAUGUUACCUAUUCAUCUAUUUUCUUCUAUUACAAAGAGAUAUAUUUCAUCCCUUCUAUUUAAUUUUUUCUACUGCAUUUAUUUUAUGGUUUCUAAGCUCGUAAAACUAGGCACAUAUUUGUGUAAUGUUUUCAUCAUUUGUCAUUACAAUAAAUGAAUGAUUGGAGCACCAUUGCAUUUUGGCAACAUGACCUGCACAAAUUUGUAGCUUUUGGUGCACAUGAUUUCCCUACCCUGGUGGGAAGGGUAUUCUUGAUUCCAUCACAGUUUUUCAAGGUGAUCUCAUUUCUAAUACAUUCAGGCAUAUCAUUCUAUGUUAGUUAUUUCAUAUUCUCUCAUUUGAUGCUAGGGGAAAAAAAUAUAAUUAUGUUUUAUUUAAUUUCGGUUGGAUACCAGUGUUUUUUUAGUUGUAGCUUAUCUGCUGUUAAGAUAACCUGCUCUGCUUAUUGUUGUAAAUAUGUUUUAACUUGUUUUCUCUUGUUUUUUUGGUGACAGGCGAGAAAUUUUCGUUUCCACUGUGGCCUUGUAUAUGUUUCAGAACCAGGAUAUAUGCUUUUUAGAGCUGGAGUUCCUCGGCAUGCCAUUAUUAAAAAGUUUGGAGGUAAGGAAAUAUCACAACUUGAGGAUCUGAUUUCUGUACUUAGCAAUUUUGUUGAAGUUCUUGCUGCUCAGCAAAGCCCAGAGAACCCCAAUUGGUUCCAGGUACAAAACCUUCUUCAAUAGAUGGAAUCCAGACCAGUGAAGAUUACAGAUUCUAUGCUAUAUCAACUGGGUUAAGUGAAUUGAGUAUCAAGGACAAGACAUUAAAUUAAAUCAAAACUCAUGGGGUUUGUCUUAAUGUUUUUCCUGUUAUUUUUUGGCGAAUGUUAAAACAUAAUUUGUGGAUAUGUUAUUUUGUAGUUAAUGGUAAUUGUAUAUUAAAUUGAAUGGGAAAGUGAAUUAAUGUUGUAUUUGCUA